rnacentral:rRNA from 1 species
UACGUAGGGGGCAAGCGUUGUCCGGAAUCAUUGGGCGUAAAGAGCGCGUAGGCGGCCCAGUAAGUCCGCUGUGAAAGUCGGGGGCUCAACCCUCGAAUGCCGGUGGAUACUGUCGGACUAGAGUACGGAAGAGGCGAGUGGAAUUCCUGGUGUAGCGGUGAAAUGCGCAGAUAUCAGGAGGAACACCAAUUGCGAAGGCAGCUCGCUGGGACGUUACUGACGCUGAGACGCGAAAGCGUGGGGAGCAAACAGG